GAUUGGCUGAAGUGGGUCUGUUGCCUUGGCAACGGCAAAGGGGUUUGGUAGCGUUGCUGUGCGGCGUGAUCUGUGCGCAGCGCGGAUGGAGGAAACGGUUUGAGGCGGCAGAACGCUCCGACUACUGACGCGCUUCAGCGGAAAAACGGCUUGAAUGUCAACUGGCAACAGUGAAUGAGCCGAGAGUUUCGGGCGUGUUCAAGACACGGUUUAACACGUCAAAACGCCUGAUAAAGGGUGGGGUGACACCCUCCAGGGCACAACGGCACUUUUAAAGCACUGCUUUCUGCAUGUCAGUGUGUUUACGAAACCUUUCUCCUUUGCUUUUCCCAUUGCAAAUGUUGAUAUGUGCUCUUUCUUUGCCCUUGCAGUUUAUUUCAGGGCUCAGCACUGAAACACAGUGAUAUCUCGUAAUGCUUGGCUCAGCGUUUCGAGGACGUAUUGAGCUCUGUCCAUUAGAUGCUCCAUCCUUCACAGCAAAACCUCAGCCCACCUGAUGUCGAGGGAUAAAACGGCUCUCUUCUGAUAGCUUUUUAGGUCAUUGGCUUCCUUUUGCACGUCCUUUACCGCGGUCGCAGGUUGGCAACCCGCAUUUGUUUGAUCGCGGGAAAAGCCAGCUGGAUUUAUGUGUCUCAGACUGAGUUUUCAAGGGUCAGAAAUGGUCUUCGGUGGAAGAAACACACACGGUUAUCUACACCUGCCAACCUUUUUGAUUACGCAAUUGCAAGUUAUCAAUAAUUAACAAUUACAUAAUGCAGUUUAGGCAGGAUAUAUGAGCUAUUAUGAGGGUAGAGAGGACUUUAAAGGCUGAACGUCCAUGAAUUAUGAAGCAGGCUAUCAGUUUUCCUCCUGUGUAAAAUCUGUUCUCAUGCGCCGGGAUUUUAGGGAAAACUCGUUUGCCUUUAAAUAUUGCAAGAGAUGCCUUUAAUCAUCAAGAUCAAAGGAAAUAUCUGUUGAGGAGUAGGAAGCAUUUUCAUUAGAUUCACAAUCAGAAUAUUUUAUAUACAGAAAACAUACAGAAAAAUAGAAAGAAAGCCAUGAAUGUUGGAAACGUACAAAGGCACAAAGAACAAAGUCAAAGUGUUUUUGUUGUUGUUGUUGUUUUUUUUACAACACAUUCUAUAAAACUAUCGCAGAAUCACUCAGAAGCUCAAAGGUCUACACUGCAAGCCACCAAUAUAAAAGUUUAGUUUAUCUUG